rnacentral:tRNA from 1 species
AAUUAAUGAACUUGUUUAAGUAUAUGUUUUGAAAACAUAAUAAAGAAGUUCAAUCUUCUAUUAAUUU